CCUACGGGGUGCAGCAGUGAGGAAUAUUGGUCAAUGGCCGUAAGGCUGAACCAGCCAAGUCGCGUGAAGGAAGAAGGAUCUAUGGUUUGUAAACUUCUUUUAUAGGGGAAUAAAGGUCUCCACGUGUGGCUCUUUGCAUGUACCCUAUGAAUAAGCAUCGGCUAACUCCGUGCCAGCAGCCGCGGUAAUCCGGAGGAUGCGAGCGUUAUCCGGUUUUAUUGGGUUUAAAGGGUGCGUAGGUUGUUUUUUAAGUCAGCGGUGAAAGUUUGUGGCUCAACCAUAAAAUUGCCGUUGAAACUGGAAGACGUGAGUGUGUUUGAGGUAGGCGGAAUGCGUGGUGUAGCGGUGAAAUGCAUAGAUAUCACGCAGAACUCCGAUUGCGAAGGCAGCUUACUAAGCCAUAACUGACACUGAAGCACGAAAGCGUGGGGAUCAAACAGGAUUAGAUACCCUAGUAGUC
rnacentral:rRNA from 1 species